GAUGAUGUCGUGAACUUUAUACUCCAGAAGUUACUCGAUCGUGCCGAUGCACAAAAGGAUGCCAUCAAACAAGGAUGCCAUCACUACAAAACAAAAAAACAAGAGCCAUCAGAUGGGCCUCUCAAAUGUACCAAGUGUCAGAAUAUUGUUGGGAGCAACCUUGACAACAAAUACUGCGUAUCUGAAAUGCCAGACGAAAUUGAAACAUGUGCCGAAGGUGUUACAAAGUGUUACACUCGAGUAAGGAACCUUGUGGACACAGAAGCAAUGCGUAUUUAUUCGAUGGAGGUCAUCCGUGGUUGCCAACCAGACGGACUCGUGUGCGAUGAGGCCAUCGCCAUAAAAGGCCGUUAUGAGAGAUACACACAGUGUUGUCAUGAUAACGAGUGCAACGUGGACGACGUCGUUCCAUUUCCUGAAGAAUAGGUCAUCUUAUCAAUCAAUUUCGACUUCUGCUUGACACGACUCCAUAGAUAUAAAUCCUUUAUUGCAGAGGAGGAAAAUGAUGCACAUUUAUAUGAGAUGUUAAAGUGCGGUAUGGUGUGUAAUCCCGUAGGAUUUUUUUUUUGCCAAAAUUGAUUUUUUGGUUGUUUUGGCUUCAAAGGGUCCCUUAACCCUAAAUAUCCCGGGGUAUUUUGAUUCUUGUCAUUCCCGGGGAAAGGGGAAGUUCACCCUGAAGAAAACUUUGUUGUAAAAAUAGCAGAAAAAAUAAUAAAAAAAUAUUGGUGAAGGUUUGAGGAAAAUUCGUUAAAGAUUAAGAAAGUUAUUAGAGUUCAAAGUUUUGUAUUUGUGACGUCAUAAAUGAGCAGCUGCCCCAUAUGUUAUGUAAUAUAAAAUGCAUGAAUUUCAAAUUUUGUAUGGUUCCUGAUGACUUAAUUCUGUUUUCUAUUCAUGAUCGGGUGUAAAAUGAUUUGUCUAUUGAUAUACAAAAGGUACAGUGAAAACCAUUUUCAAUUUUCUGAGAAAAUGACAUUUCAUUGAUUUUUUACCAUUCGCUAUGUAGGAAUGCGGCUCGCAUAUGACGUCACAAAUCAGGUAAUUGAAUUCCUAAUAAUUUUUUAAUUCUUUGAUGAAUUUUUCUCAAACCUUCAGCAGUAUUUUUUACUAUUUUUACAAUAAACUUUUUGUCAGGGUGAACUUCCCCUUCAAGAUCUCAGCCGCGGAUUGCGCGAUCACAACGAACAUUUGCAUGAUGGUAGAGAAUGACGUAAUCUACGCAGUUGCAUUGGUAAAUUUACCUGAAUUCAUAUAUUUUUAUUUUAUAUGAAUUAAUUAUGCUAAUUUAUUCAUGAAAUCAUACUUUUUGCUCUGAUUCACUAAAUAAAAAUCCUAGAAUGCUAUUUUUGGUGAAAAUAUUCGAUGAUAAUAUUUGAUGAUGUUGUGAUGUCAAUUUUUUCACUUUUACCAUAUGGGGGCGGACUUUACAAAAAAUGCCCUAAAAUUGUGAAAUAUUACCCUCAAAAUGUAAUUUCCCCCAUUUUGGCACUAUAAUUAGGACAAAAAGAUUACAAAAUGAAAUGAAUAUGUCUUGUUAUACAGUCCAAUAACAGUAGGAAAUAAAUGUGUCAAUCGUAUGAUGAGUGAUAUUUUUAUCCAUUCCAAAUCAUAAAAAAUUUCAUGGAUAAGAAGGUUUAUUUCUUGUUCUGAAAAUUUUACUUUUCACAUGUUUCAAUCAUUUUUGCCUGCAGCAUAUACAUCUUUUCAAUUAUUCAUGGGGGCUGAGCAUUAUAAAUCACUUGCUAUAUCAAUGAAUAACCCAUUUUGGACACAGGUAUUGUUGGCCUUUUCAGAUCUUUCCCGCCUUAUUGUUGAUGACGUUGCAUGUCAAGCCCUUUGGAAUAAUCCAAAAAUUAAAAUGAAUAAUAAUGUAAUAUUUUUUUCAGGUCUGGGUGUGCUAAUGGGGUGCGUUUUGUUAAUGAUAUUUUGGGAACAGAUGGAAAAUUUCUCUCAUAUUUUGAUCUUCAACGCAAAUACAAUGUACACGUCAAUUUUCUUCAAUAUUAUGGACUGUGCAGCGCCAUUCGAUAUGGUUUCAAUAAACAUGUAAUACCAAAAGCUAUGGAGCCUAUUAUUCCAGAAGCACUAUUUUUGAUAAUUAAAGUAAAAAAAGGUUGUGCUCACAUUUACAAUAUUUUUUUGAAGUAUAAGUUAAAAGAUUGUAAAAGUCUCAUCAAAUGGAAACAGACGUUUGACUUUGACAACACGAUAUGGAUGUUCUACUAUCAAAUACAUUUUUAUUCAACUGCAGAUGUCAACAUGAGAUGGUUUCAGUUCAAAAUAGAGAAUAUAAUUAUUUAUAUGAAAGAUGCUUUGUUACGAUUUAAAUUGGUUACAGAUAACUUAUGUAUCUUUUGUUAUAAUCAUGAAGAAACUAUUAUGCAUAUUUUUUGUUCUUGUGCCCACACAAACGAAAUAUGGUCUCAACUCGAAAUUUGGUUUUCUCGUAACAAUUUGCAUAUCAAAAUUUCAAACCAGAAUAAACUAUUCGGUUUUUACGGAAACAACAAUGGUGCUCUUAAUUAUAUUUUUAUAAUCGUUAGAAAAUAAAUUUUCGCAGCAAAAUGCAAACACUGUCUUCCAGUUUUCGACCAUAUUUUGUCUGAAAUAAAAUCUUAUUAUGGUAUGGAAAAGUAUAUAUAUAAAACAAAUCUGAAAGAGAAGAAAUUCAUAAAAAGGUGGUCAUCUUUUACUUU